rnacentral:rRNA from 1 species
GUGGGGAAUUUUGGACAAUGGGGGCAACCCUGAUCCAGCCAUGCCGCGUGAGUGAUGAAGGCCCUAGGGUUGUAAAGCUCUUUCACCGGAGAAGAUAAUGACGGUAUCCGGAGAAGAAGCCCCGGCUAACUUCGUGCCAGCAGCCGCGGUAAUACGAAGGGGGCUAGCGUUGUUCGGAAUUACUGGGCGUAAAGCGCACGUAGGCGGACAUUUAAGUCAGGGGUGAAAUCCCGGAGCUCAACUCCGGAACUGCCUUUGAUACUGGGUGUCUGGAGGAUGGAAGAGGUGAGUGGAAUUCCGAGUGGAGAGGUGAAAUUCGGAGAUAUUCGGAGGAACACCAGUGGCGAAGGCGGCUCACUGGUCCAUUACUGACGCUGAGGUGCGAAAGCGUGGGGAGCAAACAGGAUUAGAAACCCUGGUAGUCC